rnacentral:lncRNA from 1 species
UGGCUGGGGCUUAACCACCUCUUCCUAUCAGAGGCUCAUGGCUCUGUCCCUGGGCAGGGGCCACUCUCUGCACUACAGAAGCCUGCCUACUCCCCAGUAUCUUCCCCACUGGUUAUUAUUAUUCAAUGCAGGAAGAAGAGACCACUCACCUGUAAUUUCAACAGCAACAAAAGACCUGAGGUUCCACCAUCAGAACUUCACGCCCUAAGGAAGAUGCAGCAUUUCCUGUAAAAUGCAAGUGCUCCCAGGCAGAGGUAGCUCCUGAAGACAUGAUCAGUUAUGUAUACCUUAGUGGCAGCUGAUUAAUAGACCCUUCCCAAGAGCCAGCUGACAGGAAGCACAUCGGGGUAAAAGGGAAGAUGAAAACUUGGGUGCCUGGAGGAAGGGAACAAAUGCGAGCAGGAGCAUGGUAAUAACAUAAAACCCUGGGCCCCUUCCCCAGCUGUCAUGAAGGUGCCUGAGUGAUGGUCAGAGAGAUGACUGGAGGGGCCCACCCGGCCACCGCAGCAGCAGCAGCCAAGGCGGGACUAAGCCUCCACACCCCACAUCUCAUUCGUGGCCAGCCCGGGAUGCCUGCCUCUCCUGCCCUGUGGUGUUGCUGUCCUCAUAUGACCCUUCAGUCCCCCGACAUGUGAGUCUCCUGGGGACUCAGACCUGCAGCUCCUCACUCAGUUCCUGCCUUGGCACCCCUCCCACCAAAAAGUCUUCUCCACAGGCCCUGGCUUGCUGCCCUCCCCCCAGACAUCCCCUGGUCUCCCCCAGCCUCCCCACCUCUAAACUCAUCAUUUGUGUUCUUCCUCCACAUGGCUACCAAAGUCAUCUUUCAUUUUUAAUUUUUAUUUAACCAAAAUAUCAUAUAAGCACAUUAUUUUCAAAAAUAGUGCUACAAAUUCAGGAACGCAAACUAGGAAUAUAAAUAAACUUUCUUUUUUCUCUCUUUCUCUCCUUCCUUCCUUCCUUUCCUUCCUUCCUUCCUCCCUCUCUCUCUUUCUUCCUGUCUCUCGUUCUUCCUCUCUUUCUUCCUCUCUCUUUUUCUUUCUUUCUUCCUUUUCCUUUCUUUCUUUUUCUUUCUUUCUCUUUCUUUCCUUCCUUCCUUCAUUCCUCCCUUCUCUUUCUUUCUUUCCUCCUUUCUUCUUUCUCUCUCUCUUUCUUUUAUUCUUUCUUUAUUCAAAGUCUUGCUCUGUUGCCCAGGCUAGAGUGCAUUGAUAAAAUCAGAGCUCACUGUAGCCUUGAUUUCCUGGACUCAAGUGAUCCUCCUGCCUCAGCCUUCCUAGAAGCUGGGACCACAGGAGUGUGCCACCAUGCCUGGCUAAUUUAAAAAAAUUUUUUGGAGACGGGGUCUCACUAUGUUGUCCAGGCUGGUCUUGAACUCCUAGGCUCAAGCAAUCCUUCCACCUUGGCCUCCCAAAGUGCUGAGAUUACAGGCAUGAGCCAUCACACCCGGCCAGAAAUAAACUUUAUUAAGCUGAUAAAAGGGUACCUACAAAAAUCCUACCGCAGAUGUGAUACUUGGAGUACCAUGUGGAACGCUUUCCCUCUGAAAUCAAGAAUGAGACCAGCAUGGUUGCACUGCCACUUUUAUUCAUCACUGCACAGCAGGUCUUAAUCAGUGACAUAAGCAAGAACAGACAAAAAGAUAUGCAGGGGCCAGAACACAUUUUCUAAAUUCCUAAUAUUGUAAAAACAUUUUUAAUUGUUUUAUUGCUUAAAAAAUAAUAUAAACUACCUCAAAUCCUUAGAAGGAGCAAGGUAGAUGUGGAAAUUAAAGAUGCCACCAAUUAUUUGCUACUGCUCUGAGUCAAAUUCCUCUCUUCUUGAAGCUGGACAGGCUUUAGGGACCUGCUUGAGCAGAACAUGGUAGAAGUGAUGGACUGGGGCUUCUGAGGCUAAGCCAUAAGAAACCUUGAGAAUUUCACCUGGCCCUCACUGUCUCUGGGAGCCCUGAGCCAUGAUAGAAGAAGUCCUUCCUAUAUUGAAUGUCCUUGAGACCUCCAGUACUGGAAAGGGCAUGUGUAGAUGCUCAGACCAACAGUCCAAACUGAGCCCAGUCUGCCAACUUGCCCUGCCAAGAUGUCAGAUGCAUAUGUGAAUGAGACCAUCCUAGACCUGCUGAUAGCCCAUCACCCGGCUGACUGCUACUGAGUAACCUCUGCCAACUUCACGCCGAACACAGAACUGCUGAUUCGAACUCUGCCUGAAUUUCUUGGCCCACAGAACAAUGAGAUAUAAUUAAAAGGCAAUGGUUCAA